rnacentral:misc_RNA from 1 species
UUAAGUUCAGCGGGUAGUCCUGCCUGAUUUGAGAUCGAACGUUCAAAAAGCCGUCUUCACUGAGGAAGACAUUUGUAAGCUCCAGUGAACCUUCGUUGCCAAAGGUUACCCGGUGGACGGCCACAAGCGUAGAUAGUUAUCACACCUGUGACGCAACCAAACACUGGCAAGCUGAUUCGUUUGAGAGGAGCUGACCGCAG